AUGAUUGUGCACUGAACACCAGUUAAGGUGUCCUGUCCCAGUAAAGGAGAAGCUGUGGUCAUAGGAUAACAGUCCCAAGGAGCAGUCACCCAGAGGCUGAUCCCUGAUGACUUGCAAUCAAUAGUCUGUGAAACAAUAAGCGAGAUGCCUCCAGCUCUGUCACACGCGUCAAGAUCUGCUUC
rnacentral:lncRNA from 1 species